rnacentral:rRNA from 1 species
GAUGAACGCUGGCGGCGUGCCUAAUACAUGCAAGUCGAGCGAACAGACGAGGAGCUUGCUCCUCUGACGUUAGCGGCGGACGGGUGAGUAACACGUGGAUAACCUACCUAUAAGACUGGGAUAACUUCGGGAAACCGGAGCUAAUACCGGAUAACAUGUUGAACCGCAUGGUUCAACAGUGAAAGACGGUUUUGCUGUCACUUAUAGAUGGAUCCGCGUCGCAUUAGCUAGUUGGUAAGGUAACGGCUUACCAAGGCAACGAUGCGUAGCCGACGUGAGAGGGGGAUCGGCCACACGGGAACGUGAACACGGUCCAGGGUCCUGCGAGAGGCAGCAGUAGGGUAUCUGCCGCAGUAGGCGAGAGCCUGGCGGAACAACGCCACGUGAGAGGAAGAAAUCUUCGGAUCGUAAAACUCUGUUAUUAGGGAAGAACAAAUGUGUAAGUAACUAUGCACGUCUUGACGGUACCUAGUCAGAAAGCCACGGCUAACUACGUG